CCGAAAAUUCUGAGCUUGGGCUUUGCAGAUGGCCUAGUUGAGUUCAACCAAACUUGUUAAUUUCAUCGAAAAUAUAUAAAUUUGGAAUAAGUUCACUAAGUGACCGGAAUCUAAUCCAUGACCAUAAACCAUAAAACCGGAUAUCUCGAUCCCCUAACUCUUAAAACCGGUGUAAUUUGACUCCCUUAAUGUUUUUGGAGGGCUGUUUCGCUGACGUGACGCCUACGUGGCAUCCCAGUCAUCAAAUAAAUUAAAAAAAAUAAGUGGGGCCUACCUGUCAGUGACUCCACCCCUAUAUUCUCUCUUUUCUCUCUUUCUUGAUGGCAGCGGCAGCGGCUGGACGAGGGGAGCAGCGGUGGCCAUCGGGGCGCAGCGGAACCGGGCCGAGGGCGGCGGGCGGCGGCGGCUCGGCCGCGGCAGUGGGAGGACGAGGGGAACGGCGGCGGCGGCCCGCGCUGCCGCUCAUCGUCCUCCUCCUCAUGGUUACCAGCGUGGUCUCCGACGGCUCGCCGGGGUCGGGGCCAUUUCCAGCUGCAGCUCCGUCCACUCGCGCCGUUCAGCACCGGGGCAGCGGGACUAGCCGCGAUGUUGGCCGCCGGCGCCGCGCUGCUCGUGCUCGUGUGCGCCGCGUCGCUCCGCUGCUCGACCGCGCCCAAGAAGCUCCUCAGUGGCGGGGUCUCCAUCGAGGAGCCGCGCGCCGGCGGCGGCGGCGAGGAGUGCGACAUGUUCAACCCGCUCUACGCCUCCAGGGACUGCCCCUUCCUCGACGUCGGCUUCCGCUGCUCCGAUAACGACCGCCCCGACGAGUAGCUGUUGGAUUGUAAUCUUGAGCAUUUAUAUUCUAUUUUGUUUUGUUGCAUGUAGAGUUCGGUUGGAGUCUGAAUUCUGGCCGGUAGAAUAGCAUUUUCUGUUUUAGCAUAUUUGCUUCAUUCUUUAGCUGCGAUGAUCCGAGAUUGUCGUGAUUCUGUUAUGCAUGCAACAAACUCCGUGUGGAGAUGAAUAAAUAGAAGAGAAAACCGGAAAAGCUGCAUGGCAUUACGCAGCGAAAACUCUGUUC